rnacentral:rRNA from 1 species
GUAGGUGGCAAGCGUUGUCCGGAAUUAUUGGGCGUAAAGCGCGCGCAGGCGGUUCUUUAAGUCUGAUGUGAAAGCCCACGGCUCAACCGUGGAGGGUCAUUGGAAACUGGAGAACUUGAGUACAGAAGAGGAAAGCGGAAUUCCACGUGUAGCGGUGAAAUGCGUAGAGAUGUGGAGGAACACCAGUGGCGAAGGCGGCUUUCUGGUCUGUAACUGACGCUGAGGCGCGAAAGCGUGGGGAGCAAACAGGAUUAGAUACCCUGGUAGUCCACGCCGUAAACGAUGAGUGCUAAGUGUUAGGGGGGUUUCCGCCCCCCUUAGUGCUGAAGCUAACGCAUUAAGCACUCCGCCUGGGGAUACGGCCGCAAGGCUG